rnacentral:rRNA from 1 species
GGUAGGACUACCCGCUGAACUUARGCAUAUCAAUAAGCGGAGGA